CCUACGAGAGGCAGCAGUGAGGAAUAUUGGUCAAUGGGCGAGAGCCUGAACCAGCCAAGUCGCGUGAAGGAUGAAGGAUCUAUGGUUUGUAAACUUCUUUUAUAUGGGAAUAAAGUGAGGAACGUGUUCCUUUUUGUAUGUACCAUAUGAAUAAGCAUCGGCUAACCCCGUACCAGGAGCCGCGGUAAUACGGAGGAUGCGAGCGUUAUCCGGAUUUAUUGAGUUUAAAGGGUGCGUAGGUGGUUAAUUAAAGCCACGGUUAAAGUUUGUGGCUCAACCAUAAAAUUGCCGUUGAAACUGGUUGUCUUGAGGAUAUUUGAGGUACGCGGAAUGCGUGGUGUAGCGGUGAAAUGCAUAGAUAUCACGCAGAACUCCGAUUGCGAAGGCAGCUUACUAAACUAUAACUGACACUGAAGCACGAAAGCGUGGGGAUCAAACAGGAUUAGAUACCCGAGUAGUC
rnacentral:rRNA from 1 species